UAUAUAAUGUUAACUUAUGUCGCUCUCCUUCCUCAGAAUAAUAUUUGCAUGUAGCCAUUCACGUAAUCUGUCAGUAGCUUUAACUUAAAAUAAAAUAAAUAAAACCAUCCUCAUUGUUGUUUAUUAGGUGAAGACAUGCAUCUUCAAAAAAGACUUUUUCAAUUUGCCUUUUUGACCAAUUUAAACAAAAACCAAAUAACCAUAUUCACUCAACCUACACUUAGCUCACUUAAUAAAGUCUAUAAGGAACAUUUUAUAUUUGUAAAAUAUUCAUCAAAUCGUCAAUAUUCAUCAGAUGUAAUAAUGUGUCUAUUUCUUAGUCAGAACCGAAGUCUCUGAAACCGCAGGCUGUUCUGUUCAAGAAGAAAUACAUGAGCUCUGUGCUGGCGGUGAAGCAGGACGGCUGGACGGUUUUCUUCAUCGGAACAAGCAACGGGCAGCUCAUUAAGCUUCCUGUGGACAAGAACAAUCGUCCAGCAUGUCCAAAGGAGCACCACAGGGCCAGUGGUAAUGAAAACGUUUUUUCAAAAAUCCUUCUGAAUCCAGUGGAUCAUAAACACAUAUAUCUGCAGUUUAAAAAACAGAUUAAGCGCGUAACAGUAUCAGACUGUGAUGAAUAC